CGGCACUGCAGAUGUUUUGGACUACACCUCCCAGGAUGCUUUGCCAGCAUUAUGGGGGAUGUAGUCUAUAACAUCUGAAGUGCCG